rnacentral:rRNA from 1 species
ACGGAAGGCAGCAGUGAGGAAUAUUGGUCAAUGGACGAGAGUCUGAACCAGCCAAGUCGCGUGAAGGAAGACGGUUCUAUGGAUUGUAAACUUCUUUUGUCUGAGGGUAAAGUGAGAGAUGCGUCUCUUAUUGCAAGUAUCAGACGAAUAAGCAUCGGCUAACUCCGUGCCAGCAGCCGCGGUAAUACGGAGGAUGCGAGCGUUAUCCGGAUUUAUUGGGUUUAAAGGGUGCGUAGGCGGGCGAUUAAGUCAGCGGUGAAAUUGUGUAGCUUAACUAUACCGAGCCGUUGAAACUGGUUGUCUUGAGUGUAAACGAGGUAGGCGGAAUGUGACGUGUAGCGGUGAAAUGCUUAGAUAUGUCACAGAACCCCGAUUGCGAAGGCAGCUUACUAGGAUACGACUGACGCUGAGGCACGAAAGCGUGGGUAUCAAACAGGAUUAGAUACCCUGGUA